rnacentral:tRNA from 1 species
GGUGGGUUAGCUCAGUGGUUAGAGCUUAAAUCUCGCAACCGGAAGGUCCCGGGAUCGAAUCCCGCUGGAAGAA